UACGUAGGUCCCGAGCGUUGUCCGGAUUUAUUGGGCAUAAAGCGAGCGCAGGUGGUUUAUUAAGUCUGGUGUAAAAGGCAGUGGCUCAACCAUUGUAUGCAUUGGAAACUGGUAGACUUGAGUGCAGGAGAGGAGAGUGGAAUUCCAUGUGUAGCGGUGAAAUGCGUAGAUAUAUGGAGGAACACCGGUGGCGAAAGCGGCUCUCUGGCCUGUAACUGACACUGAGGCUCGAAAGCGUGGGGAGCAAAUAGG
rnacentral:rRNA from 1 species